rnacentral:rRNA from 1 species
UACGGAGGGAGCAAGCGUUACUCGGAAUUAUUGGGCGUAAAGAGCUCGUAGGCGGUUUGUCGCGUCUGCCGUGAAAGUCCGGGGCUCAACUCCGGAUCUGCGGUGGGUACGGGCAGACUAGAGUGAUGUAGGGGAGACUGGAAUUCCUGGUGUAGCGGUGAAAUGCGCAGAUAUCAGGAGGAACACCGAUGGCGAAGGCAGGUCUCUGGGCAUUAACUGACGCUGAGGAGCGAAAGCAUGGGGAGCGAACAGG